CCAGAUCAAUUUACCAAACCCAACAGAUACUAGUUAAUUACUUUUGAGGGUUUAAAAGAACAGAAACACUCGUAAUCUCAUGGAGAGGAAAAAACCACAUUUACAUAAUUAGUAAAAAUAUUAACAUUAACUAGAUUAUAACUCGCGGUAUACCGCGGAGACAAUUGUUUUUUAAAAAUUAGUAUAUAUAAAAGUCUGUAAAUUAUAUUUAUCUAUAAAAUAUUUAUAUUUUAUAGUUUAUAAUUAUUAUUAAGUAACAUCCUUCCAAACUCGUUCUUCCAAACCCGUCCCGUUAAAAAAAUAUGCGGUACACCGCUAAUUUU
rnacentral:sRNA from 1 species